AUGGCUACCCUGAAGGGUCUGGAGAGCGUGACUGAAAGCGCACGUCAUGCGUUGGAGGGAACUUGUCCUGGUUGGCUUGUGGUUCACAAUGGAAUACUUUUUUGUUUUGAUGAAACGGCAGCACUACGCAAUACUAGUGUUACUACUGGUUGCACCGUGCACACAACUUUACGUACAACGUGUCAAGUCUCGUCGAUCACUGGGAGCGGAUCCAAGUUUGCAAACGUAUCCAUCCAUACGGAUCGACGUCUUUUCGUUCACGUGACUGAAAGCGUCGGGGGUUCGGGUUGGAACUUUGUCCUAGUUUGGCUCGGGAUUGACAGUUGA
rnacentral:rRNA from 1 species